AACGCGAAGAACCUUACCUACUCUUGACAUCCAGAGAACAUUCCAGAGAUGGAUUGGUGCCUUCGGGAACUCUGAGACAGGUGCUGCAUGGCUGUCGUCAGCUCGUGUUGUGAAAUGUUGGGUUAAGUCCCGCAACGAGCGCAACCCUUAUCCUUUGUUGCCAGCGAUUCGGUCGGGAACUCAAAGGAGACUGCCGGUGAUAAACCGGAGGAAGGUGGGGAUGACGUCAAGUCAUCAUGGCCCUUACGAGUAGGGCUACACACGUGCUACAAUGGCGUAUACAGAGGGAAGCGAUAGUGCGAGCUGGAGCGAAUCUCACAAAGUACGUCUAAGUCCGGAUUGGAGUCUGCAACUCGACUCCAUGAAGUCGGAAUCGCUAGUAGUCGCAAUCAGAA
rnacentral:rRNA from 1 species